rnacentral:rRNA from 1 species
GGUUUGAUUCUGGCUCAGAUUGAACGCUGGCCGGGAUGCUUUACACAUGCAAGUCGAACAGCGGCACGGACUUCGGUCUGGUGGCGAAGUGGCGAACGGGUGAGUAAUGUAUCGGAACGUGCCUAGUAGCGGGGGAUAACUACGCGAAAGCGUAGCUAAUGCCGCAUACGCCCUUCGGGGGAAAGCGGGGACCUUCCGGGCCUCGCACUAUUAGAGCGGCCGAUAUCGGAUUAGCUAGUUGGUGGGGUAACGGCUCACCAAGGCGACGAUCCGUAGCUGGUUUGAGAGGACGACCAGCCACACUGGGACUGAGACACGGCCCAGACUCCUACGGGGAGGCAGCAGUGGGGAAUUUUGGACAAUGGGGGAAACCUGAUCAGCCAUCCGCGUGUGCGAUGAAGGCCUUCGGGUUGUAAAGCACUUUUGGCAGGAAAGAAACGGCACGGGAUAAUACCCGAUGCAACUGACAGUACCUGCAGAAUAAGCACCGGCUAACUACGUGCCAGCAGCCGCAGUAAUACGUAGGGUGCAAGCGUUAAUCAGAUUACUGGGCGUAAAGCGUGCGCAGGCGGUUCGGAAAGAAAAGAUGUGAAAUCGGAAACUUAACUUUGGAACUGCAUUUUUAACUACCGAGCUAGAGUGUGUCAGGGAGGUGGAAUUCCGCGUGUAGCAGUGAAAUGCGUAGAUAUGCGGAGGAACACCGAUGGCGAAGGCGACCUCCUGGGAUAACACUGACGCUCAUGCACGAAAGCGUGGGAGCAAACAGGAUUAGAUACCCUGGUAGUCCACGCCCUAAACGAUGUCAACUAGCUGUUGGGGCCUUCCGGGCCUUGGUAGCGCAGCUAACGCGUGAAGUUGACCGCCUGGGAAGUACGGUCGCAAGAUUAAAACAAAGGAAUUGGCGGGGACCCGCACAAGCGGUGGAUGAUGUGGAUUAAUUCGAUGCAACGCGAAAAACCUUACCUACCCUUGACAUGUCUGGAAUCCCGAAGAGAUUUGGGAGUGCUCGCAAGAGAACCGGAACACAGGUGCUGCAUGGCUGUCGUCAGCUCGUGUCGUGAGAUGUUGGGUUAAGUCCCGCAACGAGCGCAACCCUUGUCAUUGAAUUGCUACGAAAGGGCACUCUAAUGAGACUGUCGGUGACAAACCGGAGGAAGGUGGGGAUGACGUCAGAAUCCUCAUGGCCCUUAUGGUGAAGGGCUUCACACGUCAUACAAUGGUCGGGACAGAGGGUCGCCAACCCGCGAGGGGGAGCCAAUCCCAGGAAACCCGAUCGUAGUUGGAUCACAGUCUGCAACUCGACUGCGUGAAGUCGGAAUCGCUAGUAAUCGCGGAUCAGCAUGUCGCGGUGAAUACGUUCCCGGGUCUUGUACACACCGCCCGUCACACCAUGGGAGUGGGUUUUACCAGAAGUAGUUAGCCUAACCGUAAGGAGGACGAUUACCACGGUGAUUCAUGACUGGGGUGAAGUCGUAACAAGGUAA